AUUGAACGCUGGCGGCAGGCCUAACACAUGCAGGUCGGACGGUAGCACAGAGGAGCUUGCUCCUCGGGUGACGAGUGGCGGACGGGUGAGUAAUGUCUGGGGAUCUGCCCGAUAGAGGGGGAUAACCACUGGAAACGGUGGCUAGUACCGCAUAACGUCGCAAGACCAAAGAGGGGGACCUUCGGGCCGCUCACUAUCGGAUGAACCCAGAUGGGAUUAGCUAGUAGGCGGGGUAACGGCCCACCUAGGCGACGAUCCCUAGCUGGUCUGAGAGGAUGACCAGCCACACUGGAACUGAGACACGGUCCAGACUCCUACGGGAGGCAGCAGUGGGGAAUAUUGCACAAUGGGCGCAAGCCUGAUGCAGCCAUGCCGCGUGUAUGAAGAAGGCCUUCGGGUUGUAAAGUACUUUCAGCGGGGAGGAAGGCGAUGUGGUUAAUAACCGCGUCGAUUGACGUUACCCGCAGAAGAAGCACCGGCUAACUCCGUGCCAGCAGCCGCCGUAA
rnacentral:rRNA from 1 species